GUUUCUUAGGAUUUUUUUUUUACUUGUUAGGCCAGGUCAUUUAAUUAGGUAAAAGCAGUUAAGUUUUCAGCACUGCAAAUCUUCCUUUUGGUCAAGUUACUUGAAAUCUCUCCUUAAAAUGAUAGUUUUUGUGUCAGCUGAAGUCUGGCACUUUGACAGUCAUUAGAAUGUGAAGUAAUUAAUUUAUUAAUUACUAAUUACUAAAAAGUUUUCAGUAACACCUGAAUGCAUUGUGGAAACAUCGAAAAAUAUUCCCUAAUAUGCUACUGUACUUACAUUUCCAGGUAUCAUUACAUAUUAAGAAUUGACUCCAAGUACAUCAAAAUUAGGAAUCCCUUUGCACAACUUUUAUGUUUCACUCUUCUUGAUUUGACAGAAUUUCACCUAACACUCUAUCCAAACCUGCAAGCUUCACUUAAUUUCAGCCCCAAAUCACAUCAUUCGACCCUAGGAGAAGUUUCCUCCAUUUCAACAAAUCGAGCCCAAGUUUGUGUGACAGUGGAUAGAUGAGGUUUCUUGGCAGAUGAAGAGAAAGGGAAAGUUGGAUGAUGAUUUUGAAUGAAUGAGGAUGAAGAUGAACUGUUAGCCUUAAAGCUUGUAUGAGGUAGUCGGAA